rnacentral:lncRNA from 1 species
UAUGUCAUCUCUAUUGACUGCUCAGAAUUAUCACUGUGGCCAUGCUGAUUGCAAAUAACUAUGCUCAUAAUGCUUCCAGGUUCAGUGCUAUCAGCAAGUCUCUCCCACCCUGGGUUCUAACCACCCCCGACCUUGGAAAGAGAGGGAGAGGGAGACGGUGGAAAGAGAGGGAGAGGGAGACCGUGGGGAGCAGUAGUAGAGUUGCUGGAUCGUAUGGUAGCUCUAUAUUCAGAAUUUUGAGGAUCUGCCAGACUGUUUUCCAAAGUACCAUUUUAGGCCGGGUGUGGUGGCUCACGCCUGUAAUCCCAACACUUUGGGAGGCCAAGGCCGGUGGAUCACUUGUGGCCAGGAGUUCAAGACCAGCCUGGCCAACAUGGUAAAACCCCAUGUCUCCUAAAAAUAUAAAAAUUAGCUGGGCGUGAUGACGCAUGCCGUGGUCCCAGCUACUCAGGAGGCUGAGGCGGGAGAAUCACUUGAACCUGGGAGGCGGAGGUCGCAGUGAGCAGAGAUUGCGCCACCUUACUCCAGCCUGGGUGACAGAGCAAGAUUCUGUCUCAAAAAAAAAACAAACAAAUAAAAAACAAAGUACCAUUAGUCCCACUAGCAAUGUAUGAGGGUUCCAGUUUCUCAACAUCCUUGACAACACUUGUUACUAGCUGUCUUUUUUAUUAUAUCUGUUCUAGUGGGUGGCAUCUCAUUGUGGUUCAAUUUGCAUGUUUUGGAUGGCUAAUGAUGUUGAGCAUCUUUUCACAUGCUUCUUGGCCAUUCGUAUAUCCUCUUUGGAAAUGUCUAUUCACAUCCUUACCCAUUUUUAAAAUUGGGUCAUGUAUCCUUUUAUCAUUGAGUUGUAAGAGUUCUUUCUAUAUUCUAGCUACAAGUCCCUUGUCAGACAAAUGAUUUGCAAAUAUUUUCUCCCAUUCUGUUAAGUUUUUUUUUUUUCUCUCUAUUGAUUGUGCACUUUAAAGCACAAAAGCCUAAUCUUGAUGAGGUCCAACUUACCUGUUUUUUCUUUUGUUGCUCAUACUUUUGGUACAAUAUCUAAGAAUCCAUUGCCAAAUCCAAAGUCACAAAGAUGUACUCCUAUCUUUUCUGCUAGGAGUUUUAUAGUUUUAACUCUUUCAUUAAGGUCUAGGGACCAUUUUAAGUUAAUUUUAUUUAUGAUAUAAGGAAGGGGUCCAACUUCAUUCUUUUACAUGUAGAUAUCCAGUUGUCUCAAAACUUUGUUGAAAAGACUAUUCUUUUCCUAUUAAUAGUCUUGUCACUCUGGUCAAAAAUCAGUUUACUGUAAAUGUAAGUGGUCAAAAAUUAAUUGACUGUAAUGUAAGGAUGUAUUUAUGGUCCAUCAAUCACAUUUCAUUGA